rfam:Clostridium sp. CAG:230 genomic scaffold, scf242
GAUAAAAAAGGGAAUGAAGUUCUCCCAUAGUAAUGAUACUAAAACCGCUUAUAUAAGCUGAUGACUUCUGCAUUUUU